rnacentral:rRNA from 1 species
GAUCAUGGCUCAGGAUGAACGCUGGCGGCGUGCUUAACACAUGCAAGUCGAACGAAGCACUUUAUUUGAUUUCUUUGGAAUGAAGAUUUUGUGACUGAGUGGCGGACGGGUGAGUAACGCGUGGGUAACCUGCCUCAUACAGGGGGAUAACAGUUGGAAACGACUGCUAAUACCGCAUAAGCGCACAGGGUCGCAUGACCUGGUGCGAAAAACUCCGGUGGUAUGAGAUGGACCCGCGU